rnacentral:lncRNA from 1 species
GUGAAGUCAGUCUUACCUCUCCGUUACAACAGUAGUCUCCUCCUCGGUCUUUACUAGUUACCACAGCCACAAAUGGCUAAACCCCGCCUAUUUAAAAAAAGAAAAGCGUAUAUUUUUAAAAUCUUAUGUUUAAUUUAAUCUUAACCCUAAAUUUAACAACAAUGCUAACCUUAUGCCUAACCUUAAAUGAACACCAAAAAGCUGAUUUUGUGGCUGGAAUAACUAGUGACAACCCCCCCCCCACCCGUGACACAUUGAUGUGUCCAAUGGCUGAUGGAAUCCCUGCUUCCUAGCUUGGCUCGUGGGCGAAUCGGAAUGUUCGAUGGGCAGAACUACAUACAGUCAGUCUGGCUCUCAUGUUUUGUUGAAAUGGUAAGCUUUGGAUUGGAUUUAGAGUUUUAUUUGACACAUUUAUGUAAUUGUUACAUUGAAUACUAUUACAUUAAGUCAACUAAGUUUAAUGAAGCUGUUCAGAUUUGACUGCAGAUUGGACUGAGACAGUUGAUAAUGUGUUGAAAAGACAUCUGGAUGGACACAGCACUCCCCUACCACACCUAGCACUACCCUACCACACCUUUCUUCUUCAAACAAGAAGCUUUUACUUUGUAACUGGAUACAAUUAUAAAGAAGAAACAGACCUUCAUUUGGAAUACUAACAACAUUUUCAUUAUGGCAACUUGAAUGGCAUGGCUUUUGAGGAAACCUAACCCUGAAUGUUUUGAAAGAGUUCACAAGAGUGGUCGAGUUAACUUUUGAAGAAUCUUCUGAAGUCUUUACGGGAACAAAAUGGAUCAAGCAAGCGGUGGAGAGGAUCCUAAUAAAGCCAAUAAAAAGAGAGAAAAAGAGGAUGAGAGUAAAAACAAAAAACUGGUUGGUAUUUUCUGAGUUUCUUGUUCUGUAGUAGCUAGCCAGCAGAUCCAACCCAUUUGCUUCCAGCUGCACUAGUGUUGAACAGCAUUUCUGUGUAUAUUAAGAUACCAUGGGGCCGGUGCGAGAUAUGGCUUGGAAAAUGUACCGCAAUCCAGGGAUGAGAAAUGCGUUAUAUUCCGAAUUGUUCCAAUAUCAUAACUGUAACACUGAGAAGAUUGAAAGACUGCCAGUUUUUCUGUAAAACUGUCCUUUUCGUCCUCGGGCCAGGUAGCAGAAGUCACAGCAGUAUCAGCCAAUCAGCGCCUUUGUUGUUCACUGCCAGGUGCCAUUCCAUAAUGGAUGCUACUGCUAACUAGCAUGAGGACAAAAAUGGCACUUUACUCUAGUGCAUCUGUAUGCAAGCGGGUCAUAUCUGCUGGCUAUAUAAUAGCCAUCUUCUUUUGAAAAGUUACACUGAACUGUCUGUCCUGUCCUGUUAUUUGACAUUCAAGGGCUAACUGAUAGACUUUCCAAAUGAGAGAAAUUGUUACAUGGGUUUCACAUGCUACUUAUGAGUGAAUCAGCUUUACUACUCACAGGUCCUUUGUUGAAAGGAAUUCAUGAGCACGCCCUAUUCACGGUUUUACUGUUGUGCAUUAGAGCUUGUUAAUCAGUCACCUCCAGGGUAAGCCCUGGUGUUAAAGUCAAACCAUCCCAGCAGUCUAUGAACCAACCCCGCUGCUCACUCUAGUAACCCUCCAGAGUUGACUACAUCACGUUGUCAUACAAUGCAUCCUUGUGGUGCAAGACAAGCUUCAAAGAUGGGCUGACAGCCCCAAAUGGUAAUCAUAUUAACUAUUUAAUGUAGCAUUCACAUUUUGACCUAGAUGCCUGCUCGCAUUUCACUCAAGUUACUUUUGAAACCCUCAACAUUUGUUUGCCUUUUGAUCAAAGGCCUUCCUACAAGUACAACCUGAGACCUUUGAAAGGCAUUCCUGUUGCAGAGACAGAUGCAGUGCAAAGUUGAGCAACUUGCUGACCCAGAGGGUUUGCAGGAGAGUUGUGCUGUGCAUGAGGGUCAGCAUUAUACUGUAGAUAUGACCUGAG